AUUGAACGCUGGCGGAAUGCUUUACACAUGCAAGUCGAACGGCAGCACGGGUGCUUGCACCUGGUGGCGAGUGGCGAACGGGUGAGUAACAUAUCGGAACGUACCCAGUAAUGGGGGAUAACUAAGCGAAAGCUUAGCUAAUACCGCAUACGCCCUGAGGGGGAAAGCGGGGGAUCGAAAGACCUCGCGUUAUUGGAGCGGCCGAUAUCUGAUUAGCUAGUUGGUGGGGUAAAGGCCCACCAAGGCGACGAUCAGUAGCUGGUCUGAGAGGAUGGUCGGGCACGACGGCACUGAGACACGGUCCAAACUCCUACGGGGGGCAGCCGUGGGGAAAUUUGGGCCAUGGGGACAACCCUGAUCCAGCCAAUCCGCGUGGGUGAAGAAGGCCUUCGCGUUGUGAAGCUCUUUCGGCAGGGAAGAAACGCUCUGGGUUAAUAACCUGGGGUAAUGACGGUACCUGAAGAAGAAGCACCGGCUAACUACGUGCCAGCCGCCGGCGUAACAC
rnacentral:rRNA from 1 species